rnacentral:rRNA from 1 species
GACGAACGCUGGCGGCGUGCUUAACACAUGCAAGUCGAACGGUGAAGCGCCUUCCUUUUUGGUGGGUGUGGAUGAGUGGCGAACGGGUGAGUAACACGUGAGUAACCUGCCCCCUUCUUCUGGAUAACCGCAUGAAAGUGUGGCUAAUACAGGAUAUUCUGGGUCUGUCGCAUGAUGGGUCUGGGAAAGAUAUUGUUUCGGUGGGGGAUGGGCUCGCGGCCUAUCAGCUUGUUGGUGGGGUGAUGGCCUACCAAGGCGGUGACGGGUAGCCGGCCUGAGAGGGUGGACGGUCACGCUGGGACUGAGACACGGCCCAGACUGCUACGAGACGCAGCAGAGGGGAAUAGUGGACGAUGGGGGGAAGCCUGAUGCAGCGACGCCGCGUGAGGGAUGGAGGCCUUCGGGUUGUGAGCCGAUUUCGCCAGUGAAGCAGGACUGCCUCGUCUGUGGGGGGGUUGACGGUAGCUGGAGAAGAAGCGCCGGCUAACUACGUG